rnacentral:rRNA from 1 species
UACGUAGGGGGCGAGCGUUGUCCGGAAUCAUUGGGCGUAAAGCGCGUGUAGGCGGCUCAGUCAGUCUGGUGUGAAACCUUGGGGCUCAACCCCAAGCCUGCACUGGAUACUGCUGAGCUUGAGUCCGGGAGGGGAGAGCGGAAUUCCUAGUGUAGCGGUGAAAUGCGCAGAUAUCAGGAGGAACACCGAUGGCGAAGGCAGGUCUCUGGGCCGAUACUGACGCUGAGGAGCGAAAGCGUGGGGAGCGAACAGG